rnacentral:rRNA from 1 species
AGCGAACGUUAGCGGCGGGCCUAACACAUGCAAGUCGAACGCGAAAGGUCUUCGGACUGAGUAGAGUGGCGCACGGGUGAGUAACACGUAGGUAAUCUACCCUUUGGCGGGGGAUAACGUUCCGAAAGGAGCGCUAAUACCGCAUAAGACCACGGAGUCUCCGGACGCUGUGGGAAAAGGUGGCCUCUUCUUGAAAGCUACCACCGAAGGAUGAGCCUGCGUCCCAUCAGCUAGUUGGUAAGGUAAUGGCUUACCAAGGCGAAGACGGGUAGCUGGUUUGAGAGAAUGAUCAGCCACACUGGCACUGGAACACGGGCCAGACUCCUACGGGAGGCAGCAGUGAGGAAUAUUGGGCAAUGGGCGAAAGCCUGACCCAGCCACGCCGCGUGAGUGAUGAAGGCCCUCGGGUCGUAAAGCUCUGUGGAGAGGGACGAAAACCCUGGUUUCAAAUAGGCUCCAGGCUUGACGGUACCUCUUUAGCAAGCACCGGCUAACUCUGUGCCAG